rnacentral:piRNA from 1 species
UACCAGAUAUAAACACACCAAAGAUGCUGGA